UACGAAGGGGGCUAGCGUUGUUCGGAAUUACUGGGCGUAAAGCGCGUGUAGGCGGGCCGUUAAGUCGGGGGUGAAAGCCCAGAGCUCAACUCUGGAAUUGCCUUCGAUACUGGCGGCCUGGAGCAUGAUAGAGGCGAGUGGAAUUGCGAGUGUAGAGGUGAAAUUCGUAGAUAUUCGCAGGAACACCAGUGGCGAAGGCGACUCGCGGGAUCAUUGAUGACGAUGAGACGCGAAAGCGUGGGGAGCAAACAGG
rnacentral:rRNA from 1 species